GCGAGGGCUGAGGAGGGUGGCUGCGGCCGCCGGUGAGCGGAGGUCCGGUGAGGGUGCGUUUUUCCGCCUGCUGCGCCUCACACCUCGGUGCUGGCGCCAGAGAGCAAGGCCAUGAAUCCAGCAGACAUUUUUCCAACUUCUACUUAUCCUCACUGCUGGUAGCCGAGGGAACUUGUCCCAGGACCAGUCCUUCCUUUCUAGCUAGCAUCUGUGAUGCCUCAAUAAACCCUUUGUUUCAGAGAUUUCUCAGUGCCCAUUUUGAUUUAGCAGUUGGAAAGUUCCAAAGCCCAAAUGCAGAAUAAGCAAAUCAUGGCCCAGCACACAGGAAUCUUAUGCAGAUUCCUAACUAGAAAUAAUAGAUUUUUAAAGACUAGAAAUGUAACUCUGGCCACCUCUUCGCAGGUCACCCUUUGACUUCCCCUCCCUUUCCCCAACACUCUAAAUUCUAAGGAGAAUAUGAACCUAAAUGAUGACGGUAUUAACAGCUAAAGCAUCUUUCUUUAGACUAACAGAACCAAGAACAUCUUGUGACCUUCAGAUAACAUCAGAAUGUGUAAUUUCUUAUUCUUUAAUUCUGUGCAUCAGCUUACAAAAAGCAUGUAAAGUUACAGGAACUAAUCUCUGGAGAUCAAGGUUGCUUGCUGUAUUGGGGCAGGGAAGACAUGCCUCAAAUGACCAAGACCCCACCCAGCACAUAGGCUUCCUAACCAUUACCGCCUGCACCUCCUUUCCUUCCAUAUUAAAGUCCUUCUGUUACCCAACCCUGGUCUUGUACUGCUUGGGUGGACUACUGAAUUUCUACCCCAUCUUUGAGGACAAUAUGCCUGAAGACCGAGUCCCUCUUCAUGGGCUGGUUGCAUCUAAGAUGACUGCCAGAGUGACCACUAAACAAUCUCUAACUUCAUUAUAAUAAAAAACGUGAACAUUC